UACGUAGGGUGCGAGCGUUGUCCGGAAUUAUUGGGCGUAAAGAGCUUGUAGGUGGUUUGUCGCGUCUGCUGUGAAAAUCCGAGGCUCAACCUCGGACUUGCAGUGGAUACGGGCAGACUAGAGUGUGGUAGGGGAGACUGGAAUUCCUGGUGUAGCGGUGAAAUGCGCAGAUAUCAGGAGGAACACCGGUGGCGAAGGCGGGUCUCUGGGCCAUAACUGACGCUGAGGAGCGAAAGCGUGGGGAGCGAACAGG
rnacentral:rRNA from 1 species